rnacentral:rRNA from 1 species
AACGGCCGUACCAUGCUGAAUAUACCGGUUCUCGUUAGAUCACCAAAGUUAAGCAUCAUUGGGCGCGGUCAGUACUUGGGUGGGUGACCACCUGGGAACACUGCGUGCCGUU